rnacentral:rRNA from 1 species
UGAGUAACACGUGGGGAACCUGCCCCUAAGUCUGGGAUACCAUUUGGAAACAGGUGCUAAUACCGGAUAAUAAAGCAGAUCGCAUGAUCAGCUUUUGAAAGGCGGCGUAAGCUGUCGCUAAGGGAUGGCCCCGCGGUGCAUUAGCUAGUUGGUAAGGUAACGGCUUACCAAGGCGACGAUGCAUAGCCGAGUUGAGAGACUGAUCGGCCACAUUGGGACUGAGACACGGCCCAAACUCCUACGGGAGGCAGCAGUAGGGAAUCUUCCACAAUGGACGCAAGUCUGAUGGAGCAACGCCGCGUGAGUGAAGAAGGUUUUCGGAUCGUAAAGCUCUGUUGUUGGUGAAGAAGGAUAGAGGUAGUAACUGGCCUUUAUUUGACGGUAAUCAACCAGAAAGUCACGGCUAACUACGUGCCAGCAGCCGCGGUAAUACGUAGGUGGCAAGCGUUGUCCGGAUUUAUUGGGCGUAAGGCGAGCGCAGGCGGAAAAAUAAGUCUAAUGUGAAAGCCCUCGGCUUAACCGAGGAACUGCAUCGGAAACUGUUUUUCUUGAGUGCAGAAGAGGAGAGUGGAACUCCAUGUGUAGCGGUGGAAUGCGUAGAUAUAUGGAAGAACACCAGUGGCGGAAGGCGGCUCUCUGGGUCUGCAACUGACGCUUGAGGCUCGAAAGCAUGGGGUAGCGAACAGGAUU